CCUACGGGAGGCAGCAGUGGGGAAUAUUGGACAAUGGGCGAAAGCCUGAUCCAGCCAUGCCGCGUGUGUGAAGAAGGCCUUCGGGUUGUAAAGCACUUUCAGUGGGGAAGAAAGCCUUGGGGCUAAUACCCUCGAGGAAGGACAUCACCCACAGAAGAAGCACCGGCUAACUCCGUGCCAGCAGCCGCGGUAAUACGGAGGGUGCGAGCGUUAAUCGGAAUUACUGGGCGUAAAGCGCGCGUAGGCGGUCUGAUAAGCCGGUUGUGAAAGCCCCGGGCUCAACCUGGGAACGGCAUCCGGGGGGUGGGAGGCUAGGGGGCAGAAGAGAGAGGUGGAAUCCCGGGUGGAGGGGGGAAAUGUGGAGAGUUAGGAAGGAAGACGAGGGGCGAGGGGGGACUUAUGGACGGCAAGUGAGCCUAGGGGGAAAAAGCUGGGGACGAAAACAGGAUGAGAACCCCCAUAAUCC
rnacentral:rRNA from 1 species